UACGUAGGGUGCAAGCGUUUGUCCGGAAUUAUUGGGCGUAAAGAGCUUGUAGGCGGUUUGUCGCGUCUGCUGUGAAAUUUCGGGGCUCAACCCCGAACUUGCAGUGGGUACGGGCAGACUAGAGUGUGGUAGGGGAGACUGGAAUUCCUGGUGUAGCGGUGAAAUGCGCAGAUAUCAGGAGGAACACCGAUGGCGAAGGCAGGUCUCUGGGCAUCUCCUGACGCUGAGGCGCGAAAGCGUGGGGAGCAAACGGG
rnacentral:rRNA from 1 species